rnacentral:misc_RNA from 1 species
GUGAGUUCCUGUACUUAUUUCAUGUGCAUUUCACAUGUAAUGAUAGAGCUACAAAAAAUUUUUUUGUCAAUUCAUGGGAUAGCGCUAUGGUAUGAUUUGCCUUUUGCCCAUUUAAAGAUAAGACAACCUACUAAUAACAACACCCUCUGAAAGUUCUAUCUGUUUUCUUGUCUACUACAAUUAACUGAUUCCCAACCACUUCUUUUUCAUUUUCAUAAUUUACUAAUUAGUAAUUCAAGUUACAUAAUUAGAAUUUUGGUCAAAUUGCCUCAGAUUUAGGAAGCUAACGUUGUCCAUUUGUAUUGAUCCAUCACCCUCAAGUACUAUUCACCUCUUGUGUGUUUGAAUCACAAGUGAGAAAUCUCAGAAACUGGGCCAUGCGCAGUUGUUCACCUCCACAGACGAUAGUCAUACCAGGGCCGAAGUCCAAAAGAGAUUAUUCAAUUGCUG